rnacentral:rRNA from 1 species
UACGAAGGGGGCUAGCGUUGCUCGGAAUCACUGGGCGUAAAGGGUGCGUAGGCGGGUCUUUAAGUCAGGGGUGAAAUCCUGGAGCUCAACUCCAGAACUGCCUUUGAUACUGAGGAUCUUGAGUUCGGGAGAGGUGAGUGGAACUGCGAGUGUAGAGGUGAAAUUCGUAGAUAUUCGCAAGAACACCAGUGGCGAAGGCGGCUCACUGGCCCGAUACUGACGCUGAGGCACGAAAGCGUGGGACGAGCAAACAGGGAUUAAGAAAACC